rnacentral:rRNA from 1 species
CGAGAAGACCCUGUGGAGCUUUAGACACCAAAGUAGACCAUGUUAAAUAACCCCAGAUAAGGGGCCAAACCAAAUGAAUACUACCCUAAUGUCUUUGGUUGGGGCGACCAAGG